rnacentral:lncRNA from 1 species
CCUAGCCUCCUUCCUCUCCUGGUCGUUGGGGAAGCAGGACGGCCACCUCUGCUGGACGCCCUUCCCUGGUCGACGACGAGCGAUGCGGGCUGACACGGUGGCGCCCUUCCGUUGUGGAGUACCGUACUAGGACGACGGCGGUUAAGGUCAACGCCCUGCUCGACGCCCCCAUCUGCUGCUCGAUGCGCCCAUCCCCUCGCUGGUUGAGCUCAACGCCACCUUGCUCUGCCUCCGGCAGUCAUUUCAUCCAAUCUGGCUGGUCCGCUCCCCACCUCGGCGGCUCCUUCAGUCCGGCAGCACACCACGCUCAAGCCUCCACCACCCCAACUCCUCAAGGUAUAAGAUUUGCUUUUUGUUUAUACAGAGGAUGCAAGAUUCUACUGCUGCCGUGUAAUAAGUAGCACUUGCAGUUACAGUAGACAAGGAGCUCCGCUCUACCUCUCAUCUCUCUCCCUGUCCUGGUGGUCACGGGCUGAUGUUGCUGCUCCUCUCGUUCAGGAUCUAUCUCUUUCUCUUUGUCUCUCACCCUCUCAUGGAUUGACAAUUGCAUUCUUCCCAAAUUAAUGUGUGCCUCUGUUCUUGAUAUUACGCCCACACCAUGUUUGAUGUUAUGCUUAUGAGGAGUUGAACUUCAUUUUUUUUCAGGCUUUUCUUUGGUGUAUCAGGCAUUCAGGCUGGUGUAAUUUGUUUUCAGAAGUGAACAUGUUGUACAGUCCA